rnacentral:rRNA from 12 species
GAUUCUGGCAAAAUGGUUCUCUACACCCCGUCUUGGAACACGGACCAAGGAGUCUAACAUAUGUGCGAGUACAGGGGUGGCAAACCCCCGUGCGCAGUUAACGCAAAGAGUAUCUGAUACUUGAGGUGGGAGCUUCGGCGCACCAUCGACCGACCAUGUCGCGUCCGCGCGCAAGGUUUGAGUGUGAGCAAGUAUGUUGGGACCCGAAAGAUGGUGAACUAUGCCUGAAUAGGGCGAAGCCAGGGGAAACUCUGGUGGAGGCUCGUAGCGAUUCUGACGUGCAAAUCGAUCGUCAAAUUUGGGUAUAGGGGCGAAAGACUAAUCGAACCAUCUAGUAGCUGGUUCCCUCCGAAGUUUCCCGCAGGAUAGCAGUUGCUUUGUCAGUUUUAUCAGGUAAAGCGAAUGAUUAGAGGCCUCGGGGGCGAAAUGCCCUCGACCUAUUCUCAAACUUUAAAUGGGUAAGAUCCCGGCGUUGCUUAAGUGAACGCCGCGGUGGAAUGACGGUCACAACUGGGCCAAUCCGGGUAAGCUGGAUUGGCGAUGCGGGAUGAUCCGAACGCUGGGUUAAAGUGCCUAACUGCCCGCUCACCUAGAUCCCACAAAAGGUGUUGGUUCAUAUGGACAGCAGGACGGUGGCCAUGGAAGUCGGAACCCGCUAAGGAGUGUGUAACAACUCACCUGCCGAAUGAACUAGCCCUGAAAAUGGAUGGCGCUGAAGCGUGCGACUUAUACCCAGCCAUCGGGGCAAGU